rnacentral:tRNA from 1 species
ACUUGAAUAGCUUAAAUUAAAGCAUAAUAUUGAAGAUAUUAAGAUAAGCGCAGCUUUUUAAGUG